rnacentral:rRNA from 1 species
AGCUAGGAUCUACCUAGUAGUAUGGGAUAGCCACUAGAAAUGGUGGGUAAUACUGUAUAAUCCCUGCGGGGGAAAGAUUUAUCGCUAUUAGAUGAGCCUAUGUUAGAUUAGCUAGUUGGUAGGGUAAAGGCCUACCAAGGCAGUGAUCUAUAGCUGGUCUGAGAGGAUGAUCAGCCACACUGGAACUGAGAUACGGUCCAGACUCCUACGGGAGGCAGCAGUGGGGAAUAUUGGACAAUGGGCGCAAGCCUGAUCCAGCUAUGCCGCGUGAGUGAGGAAGGCCUUAGGGUUGUAAAACUCUUUCAAUAGGGAAGAUAAUGCCGGGUACCUAUA